UCCAGACUCCUACGGGAGGCAGCAGUGGGGAAUAUUGCACAAUGGGGGAAACCCUGAUGCAGCGACGUCGCGUGAGUGAAGAAGUAUUUCGGUAUGUAAAGCUCUAUCAGCAGGGAAGAAAUAGCGACCUUUGGGUCGCCAGACGGUACCUGAUUAAGAAGCCCCGGCUAACUACGUGCCAGCAGCCGCGGUAAUACGUAGGGGGCAAGCGUUAUCCGGAUUUACUGGGGGUAAAGGGAGCGUAGACGGCAGCGCAAGUCUGGAGUGAAAGGCGGGGGCCCAACCCCCGGACUGCUCUGGAAACUGUGUAACUUGAGUGCAGGAGAGGUAAGCGGAAUUCCUAGUGUAGCGGUGAAAUGCGUAGAUAUUAGGAGGAACACCAGUGGCGAGGGCGGCUUACUGGACUGUAACUGACGUUGAGGCUCGAAAGCGUGGGGAGCAAACAGGAUUAGAUACCCGCGUAGC
rnacentral:rRNA from 1 species